GAGACUCUGUGUGCGUGCAUAUCAAUAAGCGGAGGAAAAGAAACUAACAAGGAUUCCCUUAGUAACGGUGAGUGAAGCGGGAAGAGCUCAAAUUUGAAAUCUUCAAGGUUUUACCUUGACGAAUUGUAGUUUAAAGAAGUGUUUUCUGUUGGAGUUUUGGUAAAAGUUCUUUGGAAUAGGACAUCAUAGAGGGUGAGAAUCCCGUAUUUGACCAUUAUUUCCAGCUGUGUGAUACACUUUCAAAGAGUCGGAUUGUUUGGGAAUGCAGUCCAAAAUGGGUGGUAAAUUUCAUCUAAAGCUAAAUAUUGGCGAGAGACCGAUAGCGAACAAGUACCGUGAGGGAAAGAUGAAAAGAACUUUGAAAAGAGAGUUAAACAGUACGUGAAAUUGUCAAAAGGGAAGCGUUUGACACCAGUGUUGUUUUCUCGAAAAUCAAUUAAAAAUGAUGGGAUUUUGUGUUGUAUUGACUUUAUCAGCUUUCUGCACUUUUUUCUUAUCUUUUUUAAUGCACUUUCUCGUUUAACAAGUCAACAUCAAUUUCUUUUGUUGUAAAAGAGUCAUUGGAAGGUGGCUUUUUCUUCGGAAAAAGUGUUUAUAGCCUUUGGCUUCUGCAAUCGGAGAGAUUGAGGUCUGCAGCGUAGAUCCUUCGGGGUUAGAUACAUUUGUGCUAAGCUAUAGUUCCUUGUAUAGACAACUUGUUGACUAUGAUCAGUCCUGUAGCUUACUCGCUUAUGCUAUUUUACCUACGCUUAGGAUGUUGAAGUCAUCGUAUCGCGC
rnacentral:rRNA from 1 species